rnacentral:rRNA from 1 species
GAACGCUGGCGGCAUGCCUAACACAUGCAAGUCGAACGGCAGCACGGGAGCUUGCUCCUGGUGGCGAGUGGCGGACGGGUGAGUAAUGCAUAGGAAUCUGCCCAGUAGCGGGGGACAACUUGGGGAAACUCAAGCUAAUACCGCAUGCGCCCUACGGGGGAAAGCGGGGGACCUUCGGGCCUCGCACUAUUGGAUGAGCCUAUGUCAGAUUAGCUUGUUGGUGGGGUAACGGCCUACCAAGGCGACGAUCUGUAGCUGGUCUGAGAGGACGAUCAGCCACACUGGGACUGAGACACGGCCCAGACUCCUACGGGAGGCAGCAGUGGGGAAUAUUGCACAAUGGGCGAAAGCCUGAUGCAGCAAUGCCGCGUGUGUGAAGAAGGCCUGCGGGUUGUAAAGCACUUUCAGUAGGGAGGAAACAGUAGCCGGUUAAUAUCCGGUUGCCUUGACGUUACCUACAGAAGAAGCACCGGCUAACUCUGUG